AUUUAUUUGUCAACGUCCUAGCUAUUGCAUCUUUGUUAUACCUUUCUCUGCCUUUUGGCUAAGAUUGUGUGUAGCUAUUGCAUCUUUGUUGAAGUUCUGAUCAUGCCUCCAUUUUCGCUAUCUAACUCUCCAUAUUUUUGUGUUUAUCCAGAGCCUCAACCUAUUGGGAAGGAAAAAGGCAGUGCGGCAAAUAUCUCUUGAAUAAACGGGACUUGAGGCUCCUAUUUCAUUGAAGUCCGUGCAUAUCUUAAAUCAUGCUUUUCACAAGUUCGGUACGCUAGAGGGUGAUGAAGGAACACAGACUUGUUUUUCAAUAUCAUCCUUCGAUUAUAAUUUCAGUUUUAGACUAGACAUUAGGUGUUGCGGUGCUCUUAGCAUUAUGGUUAAGCAAAAAGAAACUAUCGCAGAAAGUAUUUUACUCAAAACUUUUUGCUUCAAUGUGAUUAUUUUGUUCUGGAUUAGGAAAUGGAAGAGUAUGCUUGGUUUUGUGAAGUAACAAGAUUCUUAAAUGGAGUUGUAACUUUAUGAACUCUAAA